AAAACGACUCUCGGCAACGGAUAUCUCGGCUCGCAUCGAUGAAAGAACGUAGCGAAAUGCGAUACUUGGUGUGAAUUGCAGAAUCCCGUGAACCAUCGAGUCUUUGAACGCAAGUUGCGCCCCAAGCCUUCUCGGCCGAGGGCACGUCUGCCCGGGUGUCACAA
rnacentral:rRNA from 1 species